rnacentral:rRNA from 1 species
CCUACGGGAGGCAGCAGUGGGGAAUAUUGGUCAAUGGGCGAAAGCCUGAAGCAGCCAAGUAGCGUGAAGGAUGACUGCCCUCGGAGUGUUAACCUCUUUUUUUAGAGAAGUAAAUUAAGGCACGUAACCAUUAUUGAAUGGACUUUACCAUUAAAGAAGGGCUAACUCUGUGCCGGCAGCCGCGGUAAUACGGAGGCUCCGAGCGUUAAUCGGAUUUACUGGGGGUAAAGGGAGCGUAGACGGGUUGUUAAGUCAGUUGUGAAAGCUUGUGGCUCAACCGUAAAACUGCAAUUGAUACUGGCAGUCUUGAGUACAGGAGAGGUAGGUGGAAUUCGUGGUGUAGCGGUGAAAUGCGUAGAUAUCACGAAGAAUACCGAUUGCGAAGGCAGCUUACUAGAACGUAACUGACGCUGAUGCUCGAAAGCGUGGGUAGCAAACAGGAUUAGAUACCCCAGUAGUC